ACUGGAGUUUGAUCCUGGCUCAGAGCGAACGCUGGCGGCAGGCCUAACACAUGCAAGUCGAACGGACCCUUCGGGGUUAGUGGCGGACGGGUGAGUAACACGUGGGAACGUGCCUUUAGGUUCGGAAUAGCUCCUGGAAACGGGUGGUAAUGCCGUAUGUGCCCUUCGGGGGAAAGAUUUAUCGCCAUUGGAGCGGCCCGCGUUGGAUUAGCUAGUUGGUGGGUAAAGGCCCACCAAGGCUACGAUCCAUAGCUGGUCUGAGAGGAUGACCAGCCACACUGGGGACUGAGACACGGCCCAGACUCCUACGGGAGGCAGCAGUAGGGAAUCUUGGGGCAAUGGGCGAAAGCCUGACCCAGCCAUGCCGCGUGAAUGAUGAAGGUCUUAGGAUUGUAAAAUU
rnacentral:rRNA from 1 species